rnacentral:rRNA from 1 species
AGAGUUUGAUCAUGGCUCAGGGUUAACGCUGGCGGCGUGCCUAACACAUGCAAGUCGAACGGUUCUAAGCGCGAGCUUAGGAUAGUGGCGAACGGGUGAGUAAAAGGCAGGAAUCUACCCCUUGGACGGAGAUAGCUACUGGAAACGGUAGGUAAACUUCGAUAAGCCCGAGAGGGGAAAGUGGUAAGACAGCCGAGGGAUGAGCCUACUCUCCAUCAGGUAGUUGGUGAGAUAAAAGCUUACCAAGCCGAUGACGGAUAACCGGUGUGAGAGCAUGAACGGUCACAAGGGCACUGAGAGACGGGCCCUACUCCUACGGGAGGCAGCAGUGGGGAAUCUUGGACAAUGGGCGAAAGCCUGAUCCAGCGACGCCGCGUGGAGGAAGAAGUCCUUCGGGAUGUAAACUUCUGAACUAGCCGAAUAAAAGGCCUGUGGACACACAGGAGAAGAAAGUAGGCUAGGAAAAGUCCCGGCUAACUACGUGCCAGCAGCCGCGGUAAGACGUAGGGGGCAAGCGUUACCCGGAAUUACUGGGCGUAAAGGGGGCGUAGGCGGUAAAAGAAGUCAUCUGUGAAAACCUAUUGCUCAACGAUAGGCUAGCGGAUGAAACUGAAUUACUUGAGGGCACCAGAGGUAGACGGAAUUACCCGAGUAGGGGUGAAAUCCGCAGAUACGGGUAGGAACGCCGGUGGAGAAGUCGGUCUACUGGGGUGCACCAGACACUGAGGCCCGAAAGCUAGGGGAGCAAACCGGAUUAGAUACCCGGGUAGUCCUAGCCGUAAACGAUGCUCACUAGGUGUAGGGAGUGAUAAACUCUCUGUGCUGAAGCGAACGCGCUAAGUGAGCCGCCUGGGGAGUACGUCCGCAAGGAUGAAACUCAAAUGAAUUGACGG